rnacentral:lncRNA from 1 species
AAGUCGGUGUUUGGAGAAAAGGACUCAGGCACCCACCGUUUCUGUUUUCUUCUGUUAUCCUUCCAGAGAUUUUCUAUGCCUAAACACCAUUUGAAGCCAUGAAUGUAUAGUGAUGAGGGGUUUUUUACAGUUGCACAUGACUGGGAAUAGAAAUGCAAUUAGAUAUUGAGAAUAUUGAUGAGCCAAUAGGAGCUGAUGGGUUAGAAAAAUAAGGAGGUGAAGAGAAUCCAGGAUUUUAAGGUUUAAGUGAAGUUAGAGACUAGAUUUGGAGCGAGUAAGAGAAGAUACAGAAUUCUAUUUAAAAGAUUCAGAACUGGGAAAAUUAGAACUAGCAUUAGUUUUAACUGAAAUCAUAUAAUGCAUGUGUUCAUACCAAGUAGAACAAAAAUGGCCUUUUUUUCUCUCAUAUUUAAACUCCACAUUAUCUACUGUAAUGUUCCACAAAGAGCACAUGUUUAGUAAAUAUUGCCUUUAGUGUCCAAUUAUGUUUGAGCUUGCUGUAGAGUUUA